AGCGGCUGGAGAAGGCGCUGCGCGGGGUCACGUAGUUGCUGGGGAAGAUGCCCACCCGCUGGUUCAGCUGCCCGGUCCACCAGCCCUCGUCGCCGGACACCUGCGAGUCCUUGGACAGCACCUCCACCACGUCGCCCAGCCGCAGGGUCAGCUCGUCCUCGCCCGCCGCCUCGUACUCGAACACGGCCGUCCAGUAGGGCAGCGGCGCGUCGCAGCCCAGCUCCCCGGGGCCCACCGCCGCCGCCGCCUCCUCCUCCUCCUCCUCCUCCUCCUCGGCCCCGGCCCCUGCUCCAUCCUCCCCCGGCGGGGCGGCAGCGGCGGCGCUCGCUAGGCAGCCGAGAAGCGCUCUGGAGGGCUCCAUGGAGCGGCCGAUCCAUAGGGUGCGGGGCCGCCGCCGCCCGCAGGAGCCGCCGCCGCCUAUUGUUCAUGCGCCUCCGCAGAGCUGGGAGGACCCCCCCCCAACGACGGCGGCCGCAGCCUGGUUGCAGAGUGAGCCCAUGGGACAGCCCUCUGAAAUUAUACUGCUUACAACCAUGCUGAGUCUGCAAGGACUUCGUCCAAGCCUUUCCGUCCAGGACCUCAAACAGAUCCAAUCACAAGAAGAGAGAUUUCAGGAAAGAGAAAAUUAUUCCUAUCAUCGGGGUUUUUGAAGAACAUGAAAUGACUGGGAAAAUAAUCAUGUUAAGUGGAAAAAAAAAAGAAAUCUAUCUGUUGUAAUUUUCAAAUAAUUUUUAAAUAAAUUUGAAAAAUUAAGAGAACUAUA
rnacentral:lncRNA from 1 species